rnacentral:rRNA from 1 species
AUGGAAGGCUGCGUGGUGCUGCCGGCGACGAGCACCAGGGGAAGGGCAGCCAUCCUAUGGAACAAGCGUGUAGUUGACUUGAUCACCCACGCCAUUGGUUGCUUCUCCAUCACAGCCAAGGUGACGGUCCUGCACAUCAACGCGUCCUUCUGGCUGACGACAGUCUACGGCCCGGCCGAUGACGCCCGCAAAGAUGCAUUCCUGGCCGAGCUAUCCCAGGUUGCCCCAUCCUCGGGAGAGCCUUGGAUCAUCACAGGCGACUUCAACAUCAUAUAUGAAGCCCGAGACAAGAACAAUCUGAAUCUGAAUAGGAGAAUCAUGGGAAACUUCAGAAGGGCCAUCGACGCUGCAAACCUGAAGGAAAUCAAGUGCAAUAACAGACGCUUUACCUGGUCAAAUGAGCGGGAGGAUCCAGUUCUCGUCAGCAUCGACAAUUUUUUCUGCAACUUGGAGUGGGAUAACCUUUUCCCAAACUUCAUGCUCAUGGUUGCCUCGACCGCCUGCUCGGAUCACUGUCCUCUUUUGCUGGCGAAUACUACUGCUCCGGCGCGGAAACCCCCGUUCAAAUUUGAAACCUUUUGGCCCCGGUUCCCCCAUUUCCAGGAAACAGUGCAGCGGGCCUGGCUUCGGCCAUCGCCGCUCCUAUGUCCGAUCGCCAGGAUCAAACAGAAAAUGGAAUGGACUGCAUCUGACCUCAGGAUCUGGGCCAGUUCGCUCUUCAGCGACGCCAAGCUUCAGUUCCAUCUCGUGGCUGAAAUCGUCCUACGGCUGGACAUCGCCUAG